ACUAAGAGAGGAGACUAAAGAAAAGGCUUCUCUGUUUGCAACACCCAACAGGAAUCUGGGCUCAUGUGACAAGGGACACAAAACUUGUGGUCUUCCUAUGAAAGAACACCCAAGAAGU
ensembl:snoRNA